UUCCAAAGGAAAGGAAAUCUAAAAUAAGACUGAGAUAUUGGCAUUGCUACAAGCCAUCUGGUUGCCUCGAGAGGUCACCAUCCAUUGCUGCGGGCACCAGAAGGGGCUUAGCCCCGAGAUGAUUGGUAAUAAUGCUGCUGACCAGGCAGCAAAACAAGCCACCCAAAAAUCAGUGGGGAAGCAAAUGGUUCUGCUUCCCACGCUGGUACUCCCAGAAAAACCUGAAUGCACAGAUAAAGAAGUAGCGGAAAUGAACAGGAGACACUGGACUCGAGGAAAACAUGGAUGGUGGACAACUAAGGAUGGAAAGGUGUUGCUCCCACCUGCUGUAGCAGAUACGUUGCUGCAAGAACUACAUGAGUCCACCCACCUUGGUGAGAAAAGGAUGAUGGCUGCCCUGCGACCUCAUUUCGUCAGCGAGGGAUUAGCCCAAAAGGCCCAGGACAUGGUGAGAUGAUGCCCCACCUGCCUCAAGGUUUGAUUCCAAGACCCUGAAACCUCAUUGGAAGGGACUGGUUCCUGUUGUCCUGUCAACUCCCUUGGCGGUGAAAGUGGCUGGACAUUCUGCCUGGAUACAUUGCAACCAUCUAAAAACAAGACCCCCCACAGACAUCAAGAAGGUCAAAUGGAAGGUUAUCAGCCAACCAGGCGACCAAAAGAUUGGAGUGGGUUGGAGAUGUUUCGCCUUCAUGAUAAUGUUCUCUGGGACACUGGCAGUAUUGCCCCCAAGAGGACUAGAUCACACAAAAAAUGUAUGGAUUCAAUUGGCAAACUCGCUUAAUUUGUCUGAAUUCUGUCUAAAUGUUGAUGUAAAUUUCCAUCAUGUAUUGGGGACAUGCCUCAUGUCACAAACCUAAAAAUGCUGUCAAAUUAUAUACACCCAGGGUAAUUAUGUCAAAUAAUACCCAAUGUGCUAUGUAUGAAAAUUGUACAAGCAAAUGUCUGAGGAUAAAAUGGUUGGAAGGGAUGCCCUGCCAUAUAAAACAGAAAAUUGUAUAUAAAAAUUGCCAUAUCUCCCUGCCAAUGGGAUGGUUUUAUACCUGUGAAGGAAUAACCUUCAAUUAUAUUCCAGCCAAUUUGACCAAGACCCAUUGCUGCUUGAGUCGUCUAGCUGUAGUGUUGCCAGAUAGAACUGAUUUGAUUGUGCCUAAUAGAACUAGACAAUGGUCACCUUACACUGCACCAGGGUGCAAUGAUGAUGUAGGUCUGUUAACAGAUGCUGAAGUAAUAACUAUGAUAGCAUCUUUUGUUGCCCUGCCUUCUAUAGGAGUCCAUGCUGAAAAGGCAGUACGAAAAUUAGCAUGCAAGGUGGUCAAAGGGUUAAAUGCUACCUCAUCAGCCUUGGUAUUAAUUAACCAAGAGUUACAAGAACAGAGACAGGCAAUCUUAGAUAAUAGGGCAGCGAUAGACUAUUUGUUGCUCUUCCACCACCAAGGUUGUGAGAAAAUAAGAAAUAUGCGUUGUUUCAAUCUUACUGACAAUAGUCCAAAAAUCAAAGAAAAGGUAAAACAAUUGAAAGACCUGGCUCAAAGGGUACAUAAUGAAGAUGGCUGGGACUUGUCCCAAUGGCUAACUAAAUGGCUGCCCAACCUACAAUGGUUAAAACAACUUUUUCUCGUCGUUAUAGUUGUGUGUAUAUGUUUACUAUUGUCAUGCUGUUGUAUACAAUGGAUACCUACGUUUAUAUGUAAAAUUACUUAAGUCCCAAGCUCUUAGGAGGCUGAUACUGAGGCAGGGGGAUUGUGAGUUCUAGGCCAGCCUGCCCUCACAGCAAAUUCAAAGCCAACAACAAAAUUCCCUCCUCAGGGGCUGGAGUGUGUAGCUCAGUAGUAGAGAGGCACAAGGCCCUGAGUUUGAUUCCUAGCACAGAAAAAUCUUUUUCAUAUGCCUAUUAUUCUGGUAAUUGGGGUUUCACCAUUCAGCAAAAUAACAAAUAGCUCUAAUUUUGUUAAGUAAUUAUUAAAAAUGAAAUGAGGCACGGCAUCCUUGUAAUAAAGAAAAUAACCUAGCUUCCCCUGCGCCUUUUAUCUUUGCCAGCUUUUGCCACUUGCCUGACAGUCAACUAUAUCCAGGUACCUCACCACACCACCCCCUGACCUCAGAAGAGGAAGAUAAAGUUUAAAUAUUAGCCACAACACUAAAGGCUCGAACUAAAGCUCUCUGACACCUUCCCCUUAAUCUUUCCCCUCCCUGUACAGCUAUUUUUUUUACUCUGGCAAUUCUGUUACUAAAGAUAAUGGUUUUGCUCCAUCUUGUUUCUGUGAGAACCUGUUUCUUCUCCUGGGAGCAAGGACACCCAGAUGUGUUAAGUCACAAGCUGUCACUGCUUGAGGAACUGCUUUUGUUCUGCCUCUAUAGUUUCUGUAUAAAAGGAGUAACAUAACUCCAGCUGACUGCUCAGACUUUGGAGAGUUUAUCUCCUCUGAGCCUGCUAGAGGAAUAAAAUCUUUUGAUCUCUCCA